CCAGUCUAAAUUCCGGUUCCAUAGACCAAAUGCGGGGAGGCAAAAAAUUCUUUCUCCCGCGCGAAGGCUCCUAUUCGACAAGGCAGAAGUCUUUCCAGCAUAGAACCUUGCAGAGGAAGAGGAAUUUUGAAGAAGAGAGAAAGGUUAACGAGCAAGAUAAAUUGCAGAAAGGUUUACGAUCAAGCGAUUGACUCUUCGCAUCUUCUCCAAGCCAAGGGUUUCUGCUCGUUUCAAAAGAGAGUGAAAGAACUAAGAGGGAGCCGCACGGUUGAGUGAAAGAGCCAAGGGUUUCUGCUCGUUUCAAAAUAGAGGGUUUCUGCUCGUUUCAAAAUAGAGGGUUUCUGCUCGUUUCAAAAUCUCCGCUCAGGAUGUUGAGGAGAACAUCUGCACAUUUGUGAAGAAGGGUUUGGAUUCAGAUUCAGAGUUUGAGGAGCCGAAUGCAGAUGCAGUACAGUCCACUCCCAACUCCCAAGUCCCACCAGAAGGAAGCCACUAGCAAGAGGCAAAUAAAUAGAGUGGCCGAAGCUGUGAAUUGAUCAUAGACGGGAGUUCCUAGCCUUGGCCGACGGCGAAGCAUUCACAGUACAAGGCUUGCUGGCUUCCCUUGCUUGCAAAACAAGAUGAGCCUUGGAUUUCAGAAGGCCCUUUGGUUGUGCCUCUUGAUUGUGAAUGGAUCUGGCACUGUCAUAGGCUCAACCCAGUCCAGUACAAAGCAGACUGUGAGGAAUUUUAUGGGAGGAUCCUUGACAAUUGUAAUGUUGUGUCAACCAUUCAAGGUGCUUCCACAAAGAAAACUAAAGAAAUUUGGAACAGACUGUAUCCUGAAGAGCCAUACAAGCUUGACUUAGGCAUCUCUUUAUCAAAAAAUAUUGAUGAAAAGUUUUCAGAGGCUCUUAGAUGCACAAAAUAUGAUUUGAUUUCAGCUGUUAAAAGGCAGAGCCCUUUCUUUUACCAGCACACCCCUGGGUCAGAGAAGGGGGAGAUGCCUCAGAGAUCCCUGUGGAUAUAUCAGUGCUAUCUAAUAUGCGGCAAUUUGUGAAGUACAGCCGGUUGAAGCAGUUUGCACUAAGGGCCUUGGCUAGCACACUUGAUGAAGAGGAGCUUGCUGAUCUUAAAGAUCAAUUUGAUGCAAUUGAUGUGGACAAAAAUGGUUCUAUUAUCUUGAAGA